GAUGAACGCUGGCGGCGUGCCUAAUACAUGCAAGUCGAGCGAACGGACGAGAAGCUUGCUUCUCUGAUGUUAGCGGCGGACGGGUGAGUAACACGUGGAUAACCUACCUAUAAGACUGGGAUAACUUCGGGAAACCGGAGCUAAUACCGGAUAAUAUUUUGAACCGCAUGGUUCAAAAGUGAAAGACGGUCUUGCUGUCACUUAUAGAUGGAUCCGCGCUGCAUUAGCUAGUUGGUAAGGUAACGGCUUACCAAGGCAACGAUGCAUAGCCGACCUGAGAGGGUGAUCGGCCACACUGGAACUGAGACACGGUCCAGACUCCUACGGGAGGCAGCAGUGGGGAAUCUUCCGCAAUGGGCGAAAGCCUGACGGAGCAACGCCGCGUGAGUGAUGAAGGUCUUCGGAUCGUAAAACUCUGUUAUUAGGGAAGAACAUAUGUGUAAUUAACUGUGCACAUCUUGACGGUACCUAAUCAGAAAGCCACGGCUAACUACGUG
rnacentral:rRNA from 1 species